UCGUACUGACAAGAGAACGUAUUCGUUUUUGAAUUUCAUAUUCGUAGCGGGUACGACAUCGUCAUGUUCCGUACGCUCCAUCUGUAUAUUAUUGAUUAAUCAGUGUUAAAUACAAAACACUUUAAUGAGAAUAGUAGAUUGUUAUACAAGGGGCUAAAAAGACCCAUUAUAUACAAGGUAUUUUUAGGGCCCGAGACGUAAGGCGAGGGCCGCCUAAAUAGAAACCGAGUUUAUAAUGGGUUUAGCCCCACGUGUUACACUCUGCUUUUCACUACGAUUGCGAGAAAAUAAAAUAGUUUAGUACAAUAUUCAAUGAUUUAUUUUAAUUCAAAAUCAAAAUCAAAAAUCAUUUAUUUCAAGUAGGCUCAGUUUACAAGCACUUUUGACACGUCAGUUGACUAUUUGUAAAGAUUCUACCAUCGGUUCGGAAGGCAGGCCCUGCUGAGAAAAUACCGGCAAGAAACUCAACAGUUGCUCUUUUGAAAAAGUCAUACAGUAUUAUAAUUUACAAUUGAUAACAAUUACUGUUUACAUUUCUUAUAGUUUUACUUCCUGUGUGAAGGUGGAAGCUGAUCCAACGGCCUCCAAGCAUCUUUAUCAUUAAGGAACUCAUCGAUGUUGUAGUACCCUCGACUAAGUAAAUGUUUUUUAACACAUUGCUUAAAGCUAUGCAUUGGCAGGUCCUUCACAGUCUUGGGGAUCUUAUUAUAGAAGAGUACACCCAAACCUACAAAAGAUUUUUUUACUCUUUGGAGACGAUAUGCAGAAAUAACUAACUUAUGCCCGUGUCUAGUAAGACGUGGGUUUAGAUCUCCUUUUCGUUUGUACAAAUUAAUAUUUUGUCUUACAUAUACUAUACUGUUAUAUAUAUAUUGACAUGCUACUGUUAGCAUACCUAUUUCUUUAAACUUUUGAAGAAUUGAAAAUUAAAUGUACAAAGUCUACAAUUUACAAUGAAUUUCUGAAAAAAAUCUAGUGUGUAUUAUUCACGCCAAUUGUUUUUUAAAUUCUCGCUUUUUAGUUUUAUUUUUUUCACCGUAAAGGAUAUCCCAUGUCUUCAAAUCUCGCUCUAUUCGCAACUCAAUAAAAAUUAAAUAAAAAAGUAAACGCAUUCCACAGACAAGAACGCUGCAUUUCAUUUCAAUUUAAAGUUUUUUAUUUAUUUUUCAAAACAAUCAGUGCCUUACCUAUAAUGAUUCUAUUUUCGAAUAAAACCUCCUCCGUUUUAUAGUAGGCUAGGACUUGGCUAGUACUCGUAACAGACAAGAAUUAAAAAAAACAAAAUUAAUUUAGCCCCUAGAGGCUAAUAUGCUUGUUUAGUUAAUAUGACAGUGUUUUUGAGCAAGAGUAGUGAAAAAUCAAUUGUAUGGAAUUUUAUAUUAUAAUAAUGUAAGAUAGAAUUUAAAAUGUUUCAUUUUAGUAAACAUAAUAUUUUGUAUAAUUUUAUAUCGAGUGCUUAAUUAUUACCGAUAAAACAGCCAUAGCUCAAUUUAGAGACCAAACAUGGUUACCGGAAGCCUCAAAAAUAAUUACUUGUCACAUAUCCUCUAUUAUCUAUGUCUCUAAGCUUUGAUCCAAUGAUCUUACUUCUCUGGAUUUGGAUUCCCUAGUUUUCAUAGAUAAUACAUAGAGUAGACAGAGUAACUUACCUACCCUCGUUUGCCGUUUAACUACUUAAAUAUUGGUGUAGCUUGCUUUUACCGGCCUUAUUUUCACAGAACAAAAACGCCAAAGCGAAUGUACUAAGUAACAUUUAAGAGGCUGUCCUAACAAGAUAAUAAUCAACAAUGGAAACAUUCCAACAAAUGUUCAAUGAAUUCUCAAAUUUGGGUAUUAGUUCAUCACGUCAUAAUAUUAUAAUAACUCAUAUCAUUGACCCAGGAAACUUCUUUGUGCGCCAAGAUAUAUAUACACCAUUAAUUGAAAAUAUUGAAAAUAUGAAGCAUUUAGUCAAACUUACUAAAGUGAAAAUAGAUCAAAUGAUUAUUUUUGAAUUUAAAUCUGCAAAAGGAACUAAAUAUGCACGUGGUCAAAUAAUAACUGCUAUUAACAACAGUUUCAGUGUAUAUGCUGUUGAUUAUGGCUUUUGUGAAGAUUCUGUGCACCUGGAUCGUAUAUGGAAAUGCAAAACAUGGCUCUCAAUUGUUCCAGAAAUGGCUAUCAACUGUAAGCUCAGUGAGUGCACAAAGAUAGGCCAUGAGAAUUGGAUUAAUGCCACUAAAGUUUUUAAACAAGAAGGUUAUGGACACCAAGCUACGAUGAUCAUACGUGAUAAAGAAUUAUCUAAACUGGUUGUGAGGCUUUUAAUUGAUGGAUGGAAUGACGUUGCACUUCAUCUACUAUUAUUAGGUUUAACUUUUUGCUAACCUAUAUUUCUAUUCUAUUGAUUCUAAAAUCAAAAGUAUCCUAUGAGUUUAAAGAUUGAAAAUUAAUGUAAUUAAUGUAAUGGUUGUCAGGCAAAUAGCUCAAAAUGUUUUUAUGUUGCUGAAGUCAAUGACGAACCAUUGUGCUUAGAAGUAUAUGCAAGAGGCCUAUGUGCAGCAGUGGAUGUCCAUCGGCCUAUGAUGAUGAAUAAUGAAGUCAAUGAUAAAAUCCAGAAUAUAAAAAAUGGAUAAAUUCCAUUUGUAAACAAAUAGAAUCUAGAGUUCAUGGCUCUGUGUCAGUGUUUACCAACAUUUUGUAUAUGAAAAUAUACAAAAUGUUGAAAAGUUACAUUAAUAAAAUAGUACAAGAAUUUAAUAGGAUUCUUGUAUUAAUUUAUACUAUUUGUUAGACACUGGUAGAAAUGUUUAUGUUCACAUUGACAGUUGGAAGACAUUGCCAGCACAGUUCAUAAGUAAAAUAGAUUUUUAAAAUGCAUUGUUCCAACCUAACUGAUCUAAAAUUGAAUAGACAUGAUAUUAUGUUCAUGGUAUUAAUUUUGUUAUAAAAUAAAUUGGAUGUGGGUUUAAUAAUCCUCAUGUUGUUCAAUGCUUGGAAGACAAUAAUUGAAUUAUUUCUUCUUUUGUUUUAUUUUAUAAGAGUUAGUACAUAAUAUAGUUUAACGUUUAUAUAGUUUUUCUAUAGUUUAAUUUAUUUUUCUAUAUUAAAUAAUUAAAUUAACUAAA